AAACUAUUUAUGCCACGAUAUUAAAGUUUAUCCCAAAGACCACACGCUUAGUGUACUUAAACGUUUGUGGUCGCUCGAUUUCCGUCGGUCUUGGGAACUAGUGCAAUUUACCACACGCUCUUUCACUAUUCUCACACAGAGUUCCGCGAAUUAUUUGAUAGUUUUCUACUCCGAAAUUGCUCUUCAAAGGUACCACUCCCAGUUCUAAUUAUUUCAAAUCCUUUU